GGAGAGUUGUCCGAGUGGUCGAUGGAGGCGGUCUUGAAAACCGUUGUGCCGCAAGGUACCGGGGGUUCGAAUCCCUCACUCUCCG
rnacentral:tRNA from 2 species